rnacentral:rRNA from 1 species
GAAACUGCCGGUAAUACCGGAUAACGUCUCCGGACCAAAGGUGUGAUUCCGUCUGGGGAUGGGUCUGCGUCCUACUAGCUUGUUGGCGAGGUAAUGGCUCACCAAGGCAAAGAUGGGUACCGGGCGUGAGAGCGUGGCCCGGCUCACUGGGACUGAGACACUGCCCAGACACCUACGGGUGGCUGCAGUCGAGAAUCUUCCGCAAUGGACGAAAGUCUGACGGAGCGACGCCGCGUGCGGGAUGAAGGCCUUCGGGUUGUAAACCGCUGUCAGUUGGGAGGAAAUGCUAUGGGGCACUCUCCAUAGUUUGACCGAUCUUCAGAGGAAGUACGGGCUAAGUUCGUGCCAGCAGCCGCGGUAACACGAACCGUACGAACGUUAUUCGGAAUCACUGGGCUUAAAGAGUUCGUAGGCGGCUUAGUAAGUUGGGUGUGAAAUCCCUCGGCUCAACCGAGGAACUGCGCCCAAUACUGCUAAGCUUGAGGGAGACAGGGGUGAGCGGAACUGAUGGUGGAGCGGUGAAAUGCGUUGAUAUCAUCAGGAACACCAGUGGCGAAAGCGGCUCAC